GGCCCGGUGGCGAAUUAGGAACGCGACGGUCUGCAAAACCGUUACGAGCGGGUGCAAUCCCCGCCCGGGCCU
rnacentral:tRNA from 1 species